UCUACAGAUCUCUGGAAGAACCUCUCCGUAUCAGGCCUUGGAACUCACACCAGUGUCUCCUCUCUCCCCGUGUAUCCUCUCAUUCUCCUCCUACACUCAAGGCUUAAAGUUUUUGGGGCCUCUGGGUUUAUACUUUCUCCACCAAGCUCCUGAAGUUCAUGCCUUCAAAACAAAUCUGAAUGCCCCACCCUGAC
rnacentral:lncRNA from 1 species